rnacentral:lncRNA from 1 species
AUAGUAUAGUCGGUUCAAGAGGGGGAGAAGCGGAUGAACGCAAUUAGGGUUAGAGAAAAAGAAACCAAACAUAUCAGCGGGAAAAAAGGGAUUGGAUUCAAAGUGAUGGCGAAGCAGAUACGGUGAGGCUGUUCGAGGGAGUUACAGUGGAGGGUAUCGGUAUAAGAGGGGUAAAAAGAGAUACACAGCAAAAAAAGAGGAAUGUGGUGAGUUGUGAUUGGGCUGGAUCAAAGGAGGGGCCGGAAUCCAGCCAGGUUUGCAUCGGUUCAGGCGGCUCGGCCAAGAUGAGACAGAACAGGGGGAUGAGAUGAGUUAAAAGGGGUUGUGUGAUUUGAAUAAUGGGAGCCGAUCGAGACGUACAUAUCGAGGAUGUGAAGAAGUAGUCGAAUUGUGAAACAAGUCGAAUCAGGAAUGAUUUGAUAAGAUGAAACUAUGGCGUAGACAGUAUCUUGUCAAAAUCCAAGGAAAAGAAUGAAUGUACGGUAUGUAGUAGUAACGGAAACCCAAGCUAGGAGCCGGAUGAUAAGGUAAGUAUUCAUAUCCUUCUUCAAUAUUUAAAGAGCCAGUUUCUUUAUUUGUUGAUCGGUCAAUCUCUCGUUUAGUUCAUUUAAUCCCUUGACAAUUUAAAGAAGUUAUUUAUUCGAUAUUGUUCUUGAAUUGAUUUCACAACAUAAGCCUGAUCUUCUGUCCUUUUGCGUAUAUGACGUUGAAGCAUGAAACUUGAUUACUAGCCAACUUUAUCGAAUUCUAUUUGAACCUUACUUCAAGGUUUUGCCAUUAUGUUUAAAGUUUUGCCAAGCUGGUAUUGAAAUGUUUUAAGUAAUGAAAAGGAUAAGUUUUGAAAAUAGAAAGGAAUGGUGUGAAUUAAGAAGAAGUGGUUUUGGAAAAGAAAUGAAUGUCUUUUGAAAGUAUAAGUUUUGAGUAAUAAUGUUUCUAAAUGUGAUUGGAUGCGUAAGAGGCCGAGUGACGCCGGUGCAACGUAAUUAUAAGAUGGCGUAAGAGGCUAGUAUUACUAGUCCAGCGUAAAAGGCCAAAGAGUUGCCUAAUUGGGUGGCCAAUUGAUGUCCAGAGGGACUUUAUGUCCGAUAUGGGGACUUUACGUGGCUGAUCACCCGUAUUGUCCAGAAAUGUCGAGUAAAAAUCCAAUCAGAUUAAUAUUUUCAUGAAAAUGGUGUUCUGAUGAAAGAAUGUUUAGAUAAUAUAAAAUGUAUUUGAAAGAUUUUGUAAAUGAUAUUUGGAGUUUUGAAAGGAAUAAUUUCUUAUGUUCAAUUUAGAGUGGCCCUUAUUGUUUAAGCAGUUUUGAUCUAAUUUGAUUGCUCAUUUGCGACGAUUAGUAUUCAUGUCUAGUUGUAUAUUCCAAGAGUCUUGAGUUAUUGUUAUUCCUGACUUAUUCAAAGAUUGAUUCCAAUUCAAUCACCUGAUUAAUUUCAAUUAUAUAUCAUGUGUUUCUCAUAUAUAUACUUGAUGAGCAUUGUUGCUCACUCUUGCUAUUUUCUUCUAACCAUUUCAGCUAGGGCUAAUGAUGGUUCGCAUUAUAAGACUAAGCGUAAGAGUAAGGCUAGACGAGGAUCGCAAGUGAUUAAAGUCAACUUGAUAAUCAGGAAGAAUAUCCAGGAUGAAAUUUUUCAGACUAC